GCGUGAAUCUGCCGGGACCAUCCGGUAAGGCUAAAUACUCCCGAGAGACCGAUAGCGAACCAGUACCGUGAGGGAAAGGUGAAAAGCACUUCGAACAGAAGAGUGAAAUAGUUCCUGAAACCGUGCGCCUACAAGCGGUCGGAGCUCGUUAAUGAGUGACGGCGUGCCUUUUGCAUAAUGAACCUACGAGUUGCCUUUGCCGGCAAGGUUAAGUGUGACGACACACGUAUCCGAAGCGAAAGCGAGUCUGAACAGGGCGUAUAGUCGGCAGUGGCAGACGCGAAACCAAGUGAUCUACCCUUGGCCAGGUUGAAGGCUGGGUAACACCAGCUGGAGGACCGCACCAAUAAGCGUUGAAAAGCUUCUGGAUGAGCUGAGGGUAGGGGUGAAAGGCUAAUCAAACUUGGAGAUAGCUCGUACUCCCCGAAAUGCAUUUAGGUGCAGCCUUGCGGGUUACUGAUGUGAGGUAGAGCGACUGAUAAGAUGCGAGGGCUUCACCGCCUAUCAAGUCUUGACAAACUCCGAAUGCGCAUCAGUUCUACCGCAGGAGUGAGGGCAUGGGUGCUAAGGUCCGUGCCCGAGAGGAGAAGAAUCCGGACCACCUGCUAAGGUCCCGAAAUGACAGCUAAGUUAAACUAACGAAGUCUGACUGCUAAGACAGCUAGGAUGUUGGCUUGGAAGCAGCCAUUCAUUUAAAGAGUGCGUAACAGCUCACUAGUCGAGGAGUCGGGCGUGGAUAAUAAUCGGGUAUCAAGUUGUCUACCGAAGCAGUGGGAUCAUUGAUAUGAUCGGUAGGGGAGCAUUCCAGUCGGCGUCGAAGGCGUACCGUGAGGUAUUCUGGAGCGUCUGGAAAAGCAAAUGUAGGUAUAAGUAACGAUAAAGGGGGCGGGAAACCCCCUCGCCGAAAGACUAAGGUUUCCUGAUCAACGCUAAUCGGAUCAGGGUCAGUCGGGUCCUAAGGCUCAGCCGAACGGCGAUGCCGAUGGCAGAAACGGUUAAUAUUCCGUUACUACCUUCAGGAGUGACGUGGAGACGCAGUAGUGACAGUGCCGCCAUCUGACGGAAUAGAUGGUUGAAGGGUGUAGGAGUCGAUCAUGGCAGGCAAAUCCACCAUGAGAUCCGAACCUGACAGUAUGCCGCGUCCUUCGGGACAAGGCAAUAGUGCGCGUAAGCAUGCUGCCGAGAAAAUCCGCUAAACUUAAUCCUGCAGGUACCCGUACCGCAAACGGACACACGUAGUCGGGAUGAAUAUUCUAAGGCGCUUGAGUGAUUCACGGUUAAGGAACUAGGCAAACUGACCCUGUAACUUCGGGAUAAAGGGUCCCUACCCUUUUAUGGGAGGGCGCAGAGAAUCGGUCCAGGCAACUGUUUAACAAAAACACAGGGCUGUGCGAAGUCGAAAGACGCUGUAUACAGCCUGACACCUGCCCGGUGCUGGAAGGUUAAGAGGAGAUGUCAUCGCAAGAGAAGCAUUGAAUUGAAGCCCCAGUAAACGGCGGCCGUAACUAUAACGGUCCUAAGGUAGCGAAAUUCCUUGUCGGGUAAGUUCCGACCUGCACGAAUGGUGUAAUGAUCUGGACGCUGUCUCAACCGUGAGCUCAGUGAAAUUGUAGUAUCGGUGAAGAUGCCGAUUACCCGCGAUGGGACGAAAAGACCCCGUGAACCUUUACUAUAGCUUAUCAUUGAAUCUGGGCACGUGAUGUGUAGGAUAGGUCGGAGGCUUUGAAGCAGGUACGCCAGUAUUUGUGGAGCCGCUGUUGAAAUACGACCCUUUAUUUGUUUGGAUUCUAACCCGUGGAUACGGGGACAUUGAUUGGUGGGUAGUUUGACUGGGGUGGUCGCCUCCAAAAGCGUAACGGAGGCUUCUAAAGGUGCCCUCACGACGAUUGGUAACCGUCGGCAGAGUGUAAUGGCAUAAGGGCGCUUGACUGGGAGACUUACAAGUCGAUCAGGUAGGAAACUAGAGCAUAGUGAUCCGGUGUUUCUGUAUGGAAAGGACAUCGCUCAAAGGAUAAAAGGUACUCCGGGGAUAACAGGCUGAUCCCUCCCAAGAGCUCAUAUCGACGGAGUGGUUUGGCACCUCGAUGUCGGCUCGUCACAUCCUGGGGCUGGAGAAGGUCCCAAGGGUUCGGCUGUUCGCCGAUUAAAGUGGCACGCGAGCUGGGUUCAGAACGUCGUGAGACAGUUCGGUCUCUAUCUAUCGUGGGCGUAUGAAAUUUGCGUGGCUCUGACACUAGUACGAGAGGACCGUGUUGGACAGACCUCUGGUUUGCCGGUUGUGCCGCCAGGUGCAUUGCCGGGUAUCUAAGUCUGGAUCGGAUAAGUGCUGAAAGCAUCUAAGUACGAAGCCGGCCACAAGAUUAGAUUUCUCAGGGUCGUUGU
rnacentral:rRNA from 1 species